rnacentral:rRNA from 1 species
AUUGAACGCUGGCGGCAUGCCUUACACAUGCAAGUCGAACGGUAACAGGUCUUCGGAUGCUGACGAGUGGCGAACGGGUGAGUAAUACAUCGGAACGUGCCUAGUAGUGGGGGAUAACUACUCGAAAGAGUGGCUAAUACCGCAUGAGAUCUACGGAUGAAAGCAGGGGAUCGCAAGACCUUGUGCUACUAGAGCGGCCGAUGGCAGAUUAGGUAGUUGGUGGGAUAAAAGCUUACCAAGCCGACGAGCUGUAGCUGGUCUGAGAGGACGAUCAGCCACACUGGGACUGAGACACGGCCCAGACUCCUACGGGAGGCAGCAGCGGGGAAUUUUGGACAAUGGGCGCAAGCCUGAUCCAGCAAUGCCGCGUGCAGGAUGAAGGCCUUCGGGUUGUAAACUGCUUUUGUACGGAACGAAAAGCCCUGGGUUAAUACCCUGGGGUCAUGACGGUACCGUAAGAAUAAGCACCGGCUAACUACGUGCCAGCCGCCGCGGUAAAAC